rnacentral:rRNA from 1 species
AACGAACGCUGGCGGCAUGCCUAAUACAUGCAAGUCGAACGAGACCUUCGGGUCUAGUCGCGCACGGGUGCGUAACCCGUCGGAACCUUCCCUUAGGUUCGGAAUAACUCUCCGAAAGGGGUGCCAUUACCGGAUAAUGUCUUCUGCCCAAUGAUAAAUCUCCUUGUGAUGGUCCCGCUUUGGAUUAGCUAGUUGGUAAGGUAAAAGUCUACCAAGGCGACGAUCCAUAGCUGGUCUGAGAGGAUGAUCAGCCACACUGGGACUGGGACACGGCCCAGACUCCUACGGGAGGCAGCAGUGGGGAAUAUUGGACAAUGGGCGAAAGCCUGAUCCAGCAAUGCCGCGUGAGUGAUGAAGGCCUUAGGGUUGUAAAGCUCUUUUACCCGGGAUGAUAAUGACAGUACCGGGAGAAUAAGCGCCGGCUAACUCCGUG